GUCUCCCCAGCCAGCUGCAGGCCCCGCAGCACCCUUCCUGCUCUCCCUGGCAGGGUGGGUGUGCAGCCAGAGCAGUAUGGCUAUACAGAACAUAGCCUCCACUGGGAAGUCAGUGUUUGCCAGCAAAUAGCAUAAGGUUUUCAUUUGGUUUAAUUGCCUCAGAGUCAGUCUCCUAAUUUGCAUUUUAGAUCAGAGACCCCAAAGUCCUCAGCCCAGGAGAAAGUGCUACAGAGGAAGGAUGAAACAAAGACAGGUCCUGGAGCACUGGUUGUGCUGCCUGGUGUCUUGCAGCAGUGCUGCCUUGGAGCUACUUCUUCUGCCCUCUGAAUGGUGUGAAAAUGACCAAAAACCAAAGGGCCCAGCCUGCCUCUGGAAGGGUAAAAAGCUGUUGGAGCAUUGCUUGAUUGAAGAGGCUGAGGAUGGUGCCUGAUUUCCUGCAUCCACAUCCUGGGAAAGCAGUUGGAAAUUGAUCCUGGUUUGGUCAUCCACUGAUGAGCUAAUUUUUAACACCAAGCAUCAAUGUGCCAGUUCCUCGGGGAGCCUGUGAGCAGCAAGUCAGCCAGCAGCCUGGAUCGUUCUUCUGCACCCAUUGUUAUGGAAAUUGCCUCAGAGACAGUUGCUCCAGCAAACAUUUUUAGAAGCUUGAGUGAGCUGUGCAACAGCAAAACUACUCUGGAGGUUAGCUCACGCUCAUCACCACUGCCUGCUGUGGAGCCGGACCAGAUCUCCAGCCCAUGCCCAGGAGCCCUGAGCAGCCUCAGCUGAUGGAAGGGAAAAGCAUGGAUCCAGUGACCUUUGUUUGCAUAACUGCUGCCCACAGUCCCUGCCUGACAUUUGAGGAGCGGCCGUGAGUGCUGCAGGGGUGCACGGUGAUGGGGUGCUGGGCAGGGCAGGUGAACCUCAUCCUUGCUGGCAGAGUGCCAGGCUGAGCCCUGACCCUUCCUUUCUCUCUCUGGAAGUCACAGUGGACUCUCGUGGUGGUGUCUCACCAGGAAUCAAGGACAAGAGACGUCUCCCCGCUCCUUGCUGGCCAGGCAGAGGGACUGACCACAGUUUGUCUAUUCCCAGGGCUGUUUUGCUGCCCACAGCAAUGGAGCCAGAGCAGAGUGGAGUGUGUUUGGCUCUGUGGAAUGUUGUGUCACUCACUGCAGGUGCCAUGGGACUGAGCAAGAGGGAGCUCACAGGCUGGGGCUGGGAGGGGACCUUGUCAUCCCAGUGGAGAUGCCAGCAGUCACGAGGGGUGGCAAGGUGCCACCAAACAGCCUGGGCCACACUGGCCUGCCAGCUCCCCAGUUUCAGCCUGGCUGCUCCUCAGCAUGCCCCCAGCAGUGCCUGGGGUGGGGAAGGACGACUCCAUCCCAUCCCAGGCCUGCCUCCUCUGGCUUUUCCAAGCUGGCUGGUAUUAAUGCCUCCAGGCACUUCCUGCAGGACCACAGUGCCAAGUGCUGCAGAUGCUGUUGAAGCCGCUGAGCAUCCUGACCUUUACACUGGUGAGUUGCCCAGCUUUGCAGCCAGUACAGCUAAAGGGUGUCUUUCUCCCUGAACCUUGGGGACUCUUCAUGCCAAGGAUCCUCGAUGUUGCCAACCCCCAAAGCUCAACAGCCAGAAGCACGAGAUCAGCAUAAGCCCCCAAGUUUCCUUUAAUAAAGAAAAUUUCAGGGGAGGAUGAGGAAGGCUAAUUCUUUGUAUUUUGUAUUCUGAACCAUUUGUGCUUAUUUUACCUCCCGUGCAGUACUUUGUCUGCUGCACUUGUGCUGGCUGGACGCUCCCUUUUAUUUUGUUUUGUUUGCAUUUAAUGUGAAAACUGAGCUUUUUGGGGCAAGAAGCUGAAGCUUGGCCACAGAAACUGAGCCCUGGGCUGUGCCUGACUAUGAAAGUCAGAUGCCUUUGCUGGACAUCUUGCUGCUUUAGCUGCAGAUAGCAGGGAAGAGCACUUUAAUAUUUAUCCUGAGCUAAAAAAACAAGUAGAAUGGAGAAAAAUAUACAAAGUAGGCCAUGAAAACAGGGUUGGUGAACAUCUGAGAUCCGCUCCUAAUUAAUAGCAGUUCCCAUCCCAGAAAUCAUACCAUUCAGCAAAAGUUAAUCAUCUUUGCUCAUACAUACAAUACACUUCAAGAGAGAAUGAGUCACCCUCAUUGAAAUGUCUAAUGUUAUGAAAUCCAGUGUGACUGAUGUAACAGACCCGGCUGAGCUCUCCAAAUUGGCCAGCAGCACCAGGCUGUGUGUGACCUGACUUCAUUGAGUCUGCUUGUUUCUACCCAGGAUGGAUUUUCCCUUUAGUUACUGGAACAGGCUCAUGGCAAAGGACCCAAGAAGGACGUGGGAGGGCAGGUGAGUGGGGCAGGAGGGGCUGGCAUUGCCAAGCCCCUGUAGUCCUCACUUCCCACCGUGGAGCUGCCUAUCCCCACUCUUGGGAGCCCACAAAGCACAGAGGCCCCGAUCCUGCAAAUAUCUGGGCACCCACGUAAUUCACAGCUCAUUGGGGUGCCUGGGACCAGCACUUUAAUAACAUCACUCUGCAUGCUUAACCAUUCACAGGCCUGGGGAUUUAUUCUUCCCUACUUCGUUCAGAGAGGAAUGUAGGUUGAAUUCAGCAUUAAGAUUCUGCAUUGAUAUCAGCUGUUCCCUCUUAAAUUAAAUAUUAUUACCUGCAAACAUUUCCUUUUAGCACUGGGAGCCGUUUGCUUGGUGUACUUU